rnacentral:misc_RNA from 1 species
GAUGAAGAACGUAGCGAAAUGCGAUACUUGGUGUGAAUUGCAGAAUCCCGUGAACCAUCGAGUCUUUGAACGCAAGUUGCGCCCGAAGCCACUAGGCCGAGGGCACGCCUGCCUGGGCGUCACACGCCGUUGCCCCCCCCAUCUACUCCUUCGGGAUUGCGGGGGGGCGGAUGAUGGCCUCCCGUGCGCCUAGCCGCGCGGUUGGCAUAAAUACCAAGUCCUCGGCGACGCACGCCACGACAAUCGGUGGUUGCGAAACCUCGGUUGCCCGUCGUGUGCGUUCGUCGCGCAUCGAGGGCUCGAAAAAAUGCUCGGCUCCGGCUGGGCUUUCAACGCGACCCCAGGUCAGGCGGGGUUACCCGCUGAAUUUAAGCAUAUCAAUAAGCGGAGGA